CAGCAGCCGCGGUAAUACGAAGGGGGCUAGCGUUGUUCGGAUUUACUGGGCGUAAAGCGCAUGUAGGCGGACUUUUAAGUCAGGGGUGAAAUCCCGGGGCUCAACCCCGGAACUGCCUUUGAUACUGGAAGUCUUGAGUAUGGUAGAGGUGAGUGGAAUUCCGAGUGUAGAGGUGAAAUUCGUAGAUAUUCGGAGGAACACCAGUGGCGAAGGCGGCUCACUGGACCAUUACUGACGCUGAGGUGCGAAAGCGUGGGGAGCAAACAGGAUUAGAUACCCCGGUAGUCCCUGUCUCUUAUAC
rnacentral:rRNA from 1 species